rnacentral:lncRNA from 1 species
AAACAACUUAUUAAAUCCACAAAUCAAAUAGAGGAGGAUAAUUUGCAAUCUGUAAUGUCAAAUGAACAUUUGCACAAAGUUGUUCUGAUAAAAAAAAAUCAAGAUUUAGAAAAAAAAGAAUAUUAAUUCAAAGAUAAAUAAUUCAAGGUUUCAUUAUUUGUUGAGUUACAGAAAUUUAAUCCAAACAAGUCGAGGUCAUCUCAAGGAACGCCGAGGCAUCGCUCAUCAGACACAUCUCAUUAGCAACUUUCUGCUUUUAGGCACAAUUAUCGGUGCCAAGGUGUCAGCUUAUCACCCUCUUCUGCCACGUUUUCCCUGGUGUGUCAGAUAUCGAUGUGCUACUGAACCUGGUUCUAUCAAUUUUUGUGACGCUGUUUUUGAAGUCCACAUUGGAGUCUCUACCAAGAAUGAGGCACUGUCUCGAGAACAAACUUGUGAUGAGAGUCGUUCACGAUACGAACUGGACAGCCAAUAGUUGUCUCGCCUAGUAUUGAUUAGAUAUACAUUUUGCCUUUAUCUCCCAUUUAUUGGCGUUUACUCGU